rnacentral:rRNA from 1 species
AUGUACGUGUUACUGAGGUGAAAGCGUGAGGGACCACACCUUCGGAUGUGGAGCGUACACAGGUGGCUGCAUGGCUGUCGUCAGCUCGUGUCGUGAGAUGUGGGUUAAGUCCCGCAACGAGCGCAACCCUACAUUCAGUUGCCAUCGGUGAGGCCGGGCACUCUGGAUGGACUGCCGGCGACAAGCCGGAGGAAGUGGGGACGACGUCAAGUCAUCAUGGCCCUUAUGUCCAGGGCGACACACGUGCUACAAUGGCCGGCACAGCGGGAAGCGAAGGGGCGACUCUGAGCGGAUCCCUUAAAGCCGGUCCCAGUUCGGAUUGCAGUCUGCAACUCGACUGCAUGAAGUUGGAAUCGCUAGUAAUCGUGGAUCAGCCAAGCCGCGGUGAAUACGUUCCCGGGCCUU